rnacentral:lncRNA from 1 species
GCUGUAUGUUUGCAUCAAUAUGUUGGUGUGUUUCUGAAUAUUCAGAGUGGUCUCUGUAUAAUUAUGCCUCCUUUCUGUCGUAUUCUGUGAUUAACUUUUAAAUUUUUUCCUAGUAUGGACAUGUGUAGGUAGUUUAUGAUUUUUCAUCUUUAUCUUGUGUUGUGCGCUUAGACUGAAUCUUCAUUAUUGAAUUUUCAACACUCAUUUUCACAUUUCUUAUGGACUUUGUAAAGUUAAG